AAAUUUAGGUGUAAUUAAACCGAGGACCUUCAAAGCCCUAAACAGAAGAUAGCCUUCUAAUUUCUG
rnacentral:tRNA from 1 species